UGGGGAAUAUUGGACAAUGGGCGCAAGCCUGAUCCAGCCAUGCCGCGUGAGUGAUGAAGGCCCUAGGGUUGUAAAGCUCUUUCGACGGGGACGAUAAUGACGGUACCCGUAGAAGAAGCCCCGGCUAACUUCGUGCCAGCAGCCGCGGUAAUACGAAGGGGGCUAGCGUUGUUCGGAAUCACUGGGCGUAAAGCGCACGCAGGCGGAUCGUUAAGUCAGGGGUGAAAUCCCGAGGCUCAACCUCGGAACUGCCUUUGAUACUGGCGAUCUUUGAGUCCGGGAGAGGUGAGUGGAACUCCGAGUGUAGAGGUGAAAUUCGUAGAUAUCAAGAGGAACACCUGAGGCGAAGGCGGGUUNCUGGGCUGAUACUGACGCUGAGGCGCGAAAGCUAGGGUAGCAAACGGGAUUAGAUACCCACGUAGUCCCUGAG
rnacentral:rRNA from 1 species